UAGACCAUUGAUUACGACUGGUAGUGUAUGAGUCAAGGGGGAUGCAUCAUAUGUGUCUCAAUGUCUGAGGUACAA
ensembl:snoRNA